GUGGGGAAUCUUGCGCAAUGGGCGAAAGCCUGACGCAGCGACGCCGCGUGAGUGAUGAAGGCCUUCGGGUUGUAAAGCUCUGUGGAGGGGGACGAAUAAGGGUUGGUGAAUAUCCAGCUCGAUGACGGUACCCCUUUAGCAAGCACCGGCUAACUCUGUGCCAGCAGCCGCGGUAAGACAGAGGGUGCAAACGUUGUUCGGAAUUACUGGGCGUAAAGCGCGUGUAGGCUGCUUGGAAAGUCGGAUGUGAAAGCCCUGGGCUCAACCUAGGAAGUGCAUUCGAAACUUCCAAGCUGGAGUGCUGGAGAGGAAGGCGGAAUUCUCGGUGUAGAGGUGAAAUUCGUAGAUAUCGAGAGGAACACCGGUGGCGAAGGCGGCCUUCUGGACAGUAACUGACGCUGAGACGCGAAAGCGUGGGGAGCAAACAGGAUUAGAAACCCGGGUAGUCC
rnacentral:rRNA from 1 species